AAAAUCCCAAAAAGAGUUGUUUUUGUGUGCUUAUUUGUGUCUUAGGGUACCUUCCAACACAAUGAUGAGGAUUCAGUUUGUAAUUGCAUGACUGUUAAAGAGAGUUAUAAACAUGGAUGAAAGUUUGAUUUACUCUUUAUUUAUGCGUGGUUGUGGUUAUAACUUAUGAAAUCAAAUGUAAUCAUAAAAGAAAAAAAAUUAGUUUUUGUAACAUGCUUGAAGGAGAGAACUCAAACGAACGCUACAACCUUGUGAGACUUGAGCUUAAACGUUUAUUUGGAGAGUUAAAAUCUGUGCAUUCUUGUUUU
rnacentral:lncRNA from 1 species